rnacentral:rRNA from 1 species
GAACGCUGGCGGCGUGCUUAACACAUGCAAGUCGAACGGAAAGGCCCUGCUUUUGUGGGGUGCUCGAGUGGCGAACGGGCGAGUAACACGUGAGUAACCUGCCCUUGACUUUGGGAUAACUUCAGGAAACUGGGGCUAAUACCGGAUAGGAGCUCCUGCUGCAUGGUGGGGGUUGGAAAGUUUCGGCGGUUGGGGAUGGACUCGCGGCUUAUCAGCUUGUUGGUGGGGUAGUGGCUUACCAAGGCUUUGACGGGUAGCCGGCCUGAGAGGGUGACCGGCCACAUUGGGACUGAGAUACGGCCCAGACUCCUACGGGAGGCAGCAGUGGGGAAUAUUGCACAAUGGGCGGAAGCCUGAUGCAGCAACGCCGCGUGCGGGAUGACGGCCUUCGGGUUGUAAACCGCUUUCGCCUGUGACGAAGCGUGAGUGGCGGUAAUGGGUAAAGAAGCACCGGCUAACUACGUG